rnacentral:rRNA from 1 species
UACGGGGGGAGCAAGCGUUGUUCGGAUUUACUGGGCGUAAAGGGCGCGUAGGCGGUCAGCACAAGUCAGUUGUGAAAACUGGAGGCUUAACCUUCAGACGUCGAUGGAAACCGUGCGGCUAGAGUCCGGAAGAGGAGAGUGGAAUUCCUGGUGUAGCGGUGAAAUGCGCAGAUAUCAGGAAGAACACCCGUGGCGAAGGCGGCUCUCUGGGACGGUACUGACGCUGAGACGCGAAAGCGUGGGGAGCGAACAGG